rnacentral:rRNA from 1 species
GGUCAAGUGAAGAAGCGCAUACGGUGGAUGCCUUGGCAGUCAGAGGCGAUGAAAGACGUGGUAGCCUGCGAAAAGCUUCGGGGAGUCGGCAAACAGACUGUGAUCCGGAGAUAUCUGAAUGGGGGAACCCAGCCAUCAUAAGAUGGUUAUCUUGUACUGAAUACAUAGGUGCAAGAGGCGAACCAGGGGAACUGAAACAUCUAAGUACCCUGAGGAAAAGAAAUCAACCGAGAUUCCCUUAGUAGUGGCGAGCGAACGGGGACCAGCCCUUAAGUUGUAUUGAGAUUAGCGGAACGUUCUGGAAAGGACGGCCAUAGUGGGUGAUAGCCCUGUACGCGAAAAUCCCUUUGCAAUGAAAUCGAGUAGGACGGGGCACGAGAAACCUUGUCUGAAUAUGGGGGGACCAUCCUCCAAGGCUAAAUACUACUGACUGACCGAUAGUGAACCAGUACCGUGAGGGAAAGGCGAAAAGAACCGCGGAGAGCGGAGUGAAAUAGAUCCUGAAACCGUAUGCGUACAAGCAGUGGGAGCCCACUUUGUUGGGUGACUGCGUACCUUUUGUAUAAUGGGUCAGCGACUUAUUUUCAGUGGCGAGCUUAACCGAAUAGGGGAGGCGUAGCGAAAGCGAGUCUUAAUAGGGCGUCUAGUCGCUGGGAAUAGACCCGAAACCGGGCGAUCUAUCCAUGGGCAGGUUGAAGGUUGGGUAACACUAACUGGAGGACCGAACCGACUACCGUUGAAAAGUUAGCGGAUGACCUGUGGAUCGGAGUGAAAGGCUAAUCAAGCUCGGAGAUAGCUGGUUCUCCUCGAAAGCUAUUUAGGUAGCGCCUCAUGUAUCACUGUAGGGGGUAGAGCACUGUUUCGGCUAGGGGGUCAUCCCGACUUACCAAACCGAUGCAAACUCCGAAUACCUACAAGUGCCGAGCAUGGGAGACACACGGCGGGUGCUAACGUCCGUCGUGAAAAGGGAAACAACCCAGACCGUCAGCUAAGGUCCCAAAGUCAUGGUUAAGUGGGAAACGAUGUGGGAAGGCUUAGACAGCUAGGAGGUUGGCUUAGAAGCAGCCACCCUUUAAAGAAAGCGUAAUAGCUCACUAGUCGAGUCGGCCUGCGCGGAAGAUGUAACGGGGCUCAAACCAUGCACCGAAGCUACGGGUAUCAUCUUUUGAUGAUGCGGUAGAGGAGCGUUCUGUAAGCCUGUGAAGGUGAGUUGAGAAGCUUGCUGGAGGUAUCAGAAGUGCGAAUGCUGACAUGAGUAACGACAAUGGGUGUGAAAAACACCCACGCCGAAAGACCAAGGUUUCCUGCGCAACGUUAAUCGACGCAGGGUUAGUCGGUCCCUAAGGCGAGGCUGAAAAGCGUAGUCGAUGGAAAACAGGUUAAUAUUCCUGUACUUCUGGUUAUUGCGAUGGAGGGACGGAGAAGGCUAGGCCAGCCUGGCGUUGGUUGUCCAGGUUUAAGGUGGUAGGCUGAGAUCUUAGGUAAAUCCGGGAUCUUAAGGCCGAGAGCUGAUGACGAGUGUUCUUUUAGAACACGAAGUGGUUGAUGCCAUGCUUCCAAGAAAAGCUUCUAAGCUUCAGGUAACCAGGAACCGUACCCCAAACCGACACAGGUGGUUGGGUAGAGAAUACCAAGGCGCUUGAGAGAACUCGGGUGAAGGAACUAGGCAAAAUGGCACCGUAACUUCGGGAGAAGGUGCGCCGGUGGAGGUUAAGCAUUUACUGCGUAAGCCCCUGCCGGUCGAAGAUACCAGGCCGCUGCGACUGUUUAUUAAAAACACAGCACUCUGCAAACACGAAAGUGGACGUAUAGGGUGUGACGCCUGCCCGGUGCCGGAAGGUUAAUUGAUGGGGUUAGCGCAAGCGAAGCUCUUGAUCGAAGCCCCGGUAAACGGCGGCCGUAACUAUAACGGUCCUAAGGUAGCGAAAUUCCUUGUCGGGUAAGUUCCGACCUGCACGAAUGGCGUAACGAUGGCGGCGCUGUCUCCACCCGAGACUCAGUGAAAUUGAAAUCGCUGUGAAGAUGCAGUGUAUCCGCGGCUAGACGGAAAGACCCCGUGAACCUUUACUAUAGCUUUGCACUGGACUUUGAAUUUGCUUGUGUAGGAUAGGUGGGAGGCUUUGAAGCGUGGACGCCAGUCUGCGUGGAGCCAACCUUGAAAUACCACCCUGGCAACUUUGAGGUUCUAACUCAGGUCCGUUAUCCGGAUCGAGGACAGUGUAUGGUGGGUAGUUUGACUGGGGCGGUCUCCUCCUAAAGAGUAACGGAGGAGUACGAAGGUGCGCUCAGACCGGUCGGAAAUCGGUCGUAGAGUAUAAAGGCAAAAGCGCGCUUGACUGCGAGACAGACACGUCGAGCAGGUACGAAAGUAGGUCUUAGUGAUCCGGUGGUUCUGUAUGGAAGGGCCAUCGCUCAACGGAUAAAAGGUACUCCGGGGAUAACAGGCUGAUACCGCCCAAGAGUUCAUAUCGACGGCGGUGUUUGGCACCUCGAUGUCGGCUCAUCACAUCCUGGGGCUGAAGCCGGUCCCAAGGGUAUGGCUGUUCGCCAUUUAAAGUGGUACGCGAGCUGGGUUUAGAACGUCGUGAGACAGUUCGGUCCCUAUCUGCCGUGGACGUUUGAGAUUUGAGAGGGGCUGCUCCUAGUACGAGAGGACCGGAGUGGACGAACCUCUGGUGUUCCGGUUGUCACGCCAGUGGCAUUGCCGGGUAGCUAUGUUCGGAAAAGAUAACCGCUGAAAGCAUCUAAGCGGGAAACUUGCCUCAAGAUGAGAUCUCACUGGAACCUUGAGUUCCCUAAAGGGCCGUCGAAGACUACGACGUUGAUAGGUUGGGUGUGUAAGCGCUGUGAGGCGUUGAGCUAACCAAUACUAAUUGCCCGUGAGGCUUGACCAU